UACGAAGGGGGCUAGCGUUGUUCGGAAUUACUGGGCGUAAAGGGCGCGUAGGCGGCCUUGUGCGUCGAGCGUGAAAGGCCUGGGCUCAACCCAGGAAUGGCGCUCGAUACGGCAAGGCUAGAGUGCAGGAGAGGAUGGUGGAAUUCCCAGUGUAGAGGUGAAAUUCGUAGAUAUUGGGAAGAACACCGGUGGCGAAGGCGGCCAUCUGGACUGCAACUGACGCUGAGGCGCGAAAGCGUGGGGAGCAAACAGG
rnacentral:rRNA from 1 species